rnacentral:tRNA from 1 species
CGGGCUGUAGCGCAGUUGGUUAGCGUACGCGUCUGGGGGGCGCGGGGUCGGCGGUUCAAAUCCGCCCAGCCCGA